AUUGAACGCUGGCGGCAUGCCUUACACAUGCAAGUCGAACGGCAGCACGGGAGCAAUCCUGGUGGCGAGUGGCGAACGGGUGAGCAAAGUAUCGGAACGUGCCCAGUCGUGGGGGAUAACGUAGCGAAAGUUACGCUAAUACCGCAUACGAUCUAUGGAUGAAAGCGGGGGAUCGCAAGACCUCGCGCGAUUGGAGCGGCCGAUAUCAGAUUAGGUAGUUGGUGGGGUAAAGGCUCACCAAGCCGACGAUCUGUAGCUGGUCUGAGAGGACGACCAGCCACACUGGGACUGAGACACGGCCCAGACUCCUACGGGAGGCAGCAGUGUGGAAUUUUGGACAAUGGGCGCAAGCCUGAUCCAGCCAUGCCGCGUGCAGGAUGAAGGCCUUCGGGUUGUAAACUGCUUUUGUACGGAACGAAAAGGUUUGGCUUAAUACGUUGAACUCAUGACGGUACCGUAAGAAUAAGCACCGGCUAACUACGUGCCAGCAGCCGCAGUAA
rnacentral:rRNA from 1 species